rnacentral:sRNA from 1 species
UGCCUGAUGAGGUCGUCUUGACUAGCUC